GCCCGCCUAGCUCAAUCGGAUAGAGCGUCAGACUCUUACCGUCUAGGAUCGGGUAGUUCCUUCCGUUUGGAAUCUGAAGGCUGCGAGUUCGACCCUCGCGGUGGGCU
rnacentral:tRNA from 2 species